ACUGAUUUACGAAACCGGUUUAAAUGCUUAUCACAAAGAUUAAGCCAUGCGUGUCUAAGUACACGAUUUUAUAUAUCGAAACCGCGGAUGGCUCAUUAUAGCAGCUAUGAUUUGAGAGAUAUUAUCAUUUGCCAUAAGAUAACUGUGGUAAUUCUAGAGCUAAUAUUUUAUAGAAUGCCAUGUUUUACGCAGUGACAGAUUUAUUAGAUCAAAACUAAUUUGUCCUAGACGGUAAUUUGAUGACUCUGGAUAACUUUACUGAUCGUAUGACCUUGAAUUACGACGAAUCUCUUGAAAUGGCUGACCUAUCAACGUUUGAUGGUAAGAUCAAAGCUUACCAUGGUUGUAACGGGUAACGGGGAAUCAGUGUUCGAUUCCGGAGAGGGAGCCUGAGAAACGGCUACCACAUCCACGGAAGGCAGCAGGCGCGAAAAUUACCCAAUGCCGGUUCGGCGAGGUAGUGACAAUAAAUAACAAUAUGGACCCUAGUGGUUUCAUAAAUGCAAUGAGAUUAUUUUAAUUACUUUUUCAAGUAUCAAUUGGAGGGUAAGUCUGGUGCCAGCAGCCGCGGUAAUUCCAGCUCCAAAAAGCGUAUAUUAAAGUUGUUGCAGUUAAAAAGCUCGUAGUUGAAAUUGAUGUAGAUGUAAUUUGAAAUCUGAUGAUUGAUUAUUACUAUACCUUUCCUUCAUGUAUAUUAGUGAGGUACUUAAUUGGUAACUAUUUUACUGCUAGUGUACAAUGUACAUUUCCACACUUGAAUAUUUUUAUGUGUUUUCUGUAAUAUUAUACGGUUAAUUCGAGAGUUUUUCACGCUUUUUGAAACAUUGUUUGUUUGAGGACCUGUUUUAAAGGAAAGACCUGAGAUGUACAAAUUUUGCAUUUUCUAUCAAAAACUCAUCUUUUCCACAUAUGCCAAUAGAGGUUGUGAAAUAGUCAUACCCCUAUUGCACAUACAAGAUUACCGUAUUAGAAGGUUGUGUAAAAAUCAACUAUUAAGGAGACUUUCUCUUACUAAGUUGCAAAGGAUUUAUUACGCCAGCACCUGAAAACACAAUAAAAUUUAGACAUGAAAAUUUUAGUUUUUCUCUUCUUAUUGUUUCCAUUUCAACAUUCCUCCACAAAUAUGUAGAAUAUAAUUUCACAGUGACGUAUGAAAUAUAGCGGCAUAUAUUUUGAUGUGACAUGUAUUUUGUAAUUAGCCAAACGUAUAAUAUACUAAUCUUGCUAUACUUAUACAUAUAUACUUUUUAUAGUUUGUGUGUCUUUUCAAUUUUUCAAACCAAAUUUUGCAGUUAUGUUUUUUAUAAAUAACCACAGAAUUGUGAUAUUUCGCCUUUUUACUAACAGAUUUUUUAUAAAAAUUGUUAAUUGAGAUAACCAUUGUUAUGAAGAGUAUGAAAUAAGCUUUAGAAAAUAGUAAUUCGUAUGACGAAAGAAAGAAAGAUUAAUUGAGUAGAACACAUUUUAAAUUUGAAAAAUACGUAAUUUUAACCGGUUUUUAAGAAUUUUGGUUAAAGGUAAUCGGUUUAUUUAUGAAUAAUCUUUUGGUUUCGGUUUCGGUUACAGUUAGUAAUAUCUUUGGAAAAACAACGAUUAACUGGUUUUUUAAACCGGUUUUGGAAAUCAGUUUUCAUCCAUGAUUAUUAUUAUUAUUAUUAUUAUUAUUAUUAUUAUUAUUAUUAUUAUUAUUAUUAUUAUUAUUAUUAUUAUUAUUAUUAUUAUUAUUAUUAUUAUUAUUAUUAUUAUUAUUAUUAUUAUUAUUAUUAUUAUUAUUAUUAUUAU
rnacentral:rRNA from 1 species